rnacentral:ncRNA from 1 species
GGCUCGGGAGCGCCCGGUGGGACGGGCGCAGGAAUGGAGCCCGCCCCCUUCAUUCGUGAGCGGCGCACCGCCGGGGCCCGACGGCCGGUGCA